rnacentral:rRNA from 2 species
GGGCGAACGCUCAUAGCGUAUAUUAAGUUGUUGCAGUUAAAAAGCUCGUAGUUGGAUUUCUGUUUUGAGCGUCCGGUCGGCUCCCUCUGGGAGUGUGUACUUUUGCGACGUUCGAGGCAUUUUUUGUGAGGACGUGUUUCUGCCAUUAAGUUGGUGGUUUUGCGGACUUGCAUCGUUUACUGUGAAAAAAUUAGAGUGUUUAAAGCAGGCGUUUGCUCAUUGAAUACAUUAGCAUGGAAUAAUAAGAUACGACCUUGGUGGUCUAUUUUGUUGGUUUGCACACCAGGGUAAUGAUUAAUAGGGACAGUUGGGGGUAUUCAUAUUUCAGCGUCAGAGGUGAAAUUCUUGGAUCGCUGAAAGAUGAGCUUAGGCGAAAGCAUUUACCAAGGAUGUUUUCAUUAAUCAAGAACGAAAGUUAGGGGAUCGAAGAUGAUUAGAUACCAUCGUAGUCUUAACCAUAAACUAUGCCGACUCGGGAUUGGCAGUCGUUUUUUUAAAUGACCUUGUCAGCACCGUAUGAGAAAUCAAAGUCUUUGGGUUCCGGGGGGAGUAUGGUCGCAAGGCUGAAACUUAAAGGAAUUGACGGAAG